rnacentral:lncRNA from 1 species
GAGGUUAUAGAUUAUCUUCGUAUUGAAAAAAAAACAAAAUAAAACAUUCUACGAAGAUUACCUAUUUUUUACCUAUAAAAGCAAUCGUGUACGGAGAGAGAAGGGAGAGCUUCUUUGAAAAAAUUCAGAAAAAGGCCAAAAGGGAAGCCGUCCGUGGAGGUGUGUUGGAAAAAAAGAAGGAAAAGUCAAAGGAAAAGAGGAAAAGAGGGAAGGUGGCGUGAGAGAGACAGGUGAGAGAGAGAGAAAAGAAAAGUAGAGGGGAAAAGUACAAGCGGCAGAGAGACACUGUUCAUCG